rnacentral:rRNA from 1 species
GGGUUGUGAGGUUAAGCGACUAAGCGUACACGGUGGAUGCCCUGGCAGUCAGAGGCGAUGAAGGGCGUGCUAAUCUGCGAUAAGCGCCGGUAAGGUGAUAUGAACCGUUAUAACCGGCGAUACCCGAAUGGGGAAACCCAGUGUGAUUCGUCACACUAUCAUUAACUGAAUCCAUAGGUUAAUGAGGCGAACCGGGGGAACUGAAACAUCUAAGUACCCCGAGGAAAAGAAAUCAACCGAGAUUCCCCCAGUAGCGGCGAGCGAACGGGGAGGAGCCCAGAGCCUGAAUCAGCAUGUGUGUUAGUGGAAGCGUCUGGAAAGGCGCGCGAUACAGGGUGACAGCCCCGUACACAAAAGCGCAUGUGCUGUGAGCUCGAUGAGUAGGGCGGGACACGUGGUAUCCUGUCUGAAUAUGGGGGGACCAUCCUCCAAGGCUAAAUACUCCUGACUGACCGAUAGUGAACCAGUACCGUGAGGGAAAGGCGAAAAGAACCCCGGCGAGGGGAGUGAAAAAGAACCUGAAACCGUGUACGUACAAGCAGUGGGAGCCCCACCACCAAAGCAUUCUCUGGUGUUGAAGGCCCUGCAAAGCAGCAUCGCGGUGGCGGAGCGUCGUUUGCGACGCCCAACACACAAAACAAGCGGUGAAUGCUUUGGGGUGGGGUGACUGCGUACCUUUUGUAUAAUGGGUCAGCGACUUAUAUUCUGUAGCAAGGUUAACCGAAUAGGGGAGCCGGAGGGAAACCGAGUCUUAAUUGGGCGUUAAGUUGCAGGGUAUAGACCCGAAACCCGGUGAUCUAGCCAUGGGCAGGUUGAAGGUUGGGUAACACUAACUGGAGGACCGAACCGACUAAUGUUGAAAAAUUAGCGGAUGACCUGUGGCUGGGGGUGAAAGGCCAAUCAAACCGGGAGAUAGCUGGUUCUCCCCGAAAGCUAUUUAGGUAGCGCCUCGUGAAUUCAUCUCCGGGGGUAGAGCACUGUUUCGGCUAGGGGGCCAUCCCGGCUUACCAACCCGAUGCAAACUGCGAAUACCGGAGAAUGUUAUCACGGGAGACACACGGCGGGUGCUAACGUCCGUCGUGAAGAGGGAAACAACCCAGACCGCCAGCUAAGGUCCCAAAGUCAUGGUUAAGUGGGAAACGAUGUGGGAAGGCCCAGACAGCCAGGAUGUUGGCUUAGAAGCAGCCAUCAUUUAAAGAAAGCGUAAUAGCUCACUGGUCGAGUCGGCCUGCGCGGAAGAUGUAACGGGGCUAAACCAUGCACCGAAGCUGCGGCAGCGAACGUAUCACCCAAGACAACUUUACGGAGUUGACGAUUGACGGAGCGAAGCGACGUCAAAGCGUUCAUUAAAGUCGAGUUGGCUUAGGGAUACGUUCGUUGGGUAGGGGAGCGUUCUGUAAGCCUGUGAAGGUGUGUCGUGAGGCAUGCUGGAGGUAUCAGAAGUGCGAAUGCUGACAUAAGUAACGAUAAAGCGGGUGAAAAGCCCGCUCGCCGGAAGACCAAGGGUUCCUGUCCAACGUUAAUCGGGGCAGGGUGAGUCGACCCCUAAGGCGAGGCCGAAAGGCGUAGUCGAUGGGAAACGGGUUAAUAUUCCCGUACUUGGUGUUACUGCGAAGGGGGGACGGAGAAGGCUAUGUUGGCCGGGCGACGGUUGUCCCGGUUUAAGCGUGUAGGUGUGUGUUCCAGGUAAAUCCGGUUCACUUUAACACUGAGGCGUGACGACGAGGCACUACGGUGCUGAAGCAACAAAUGCCCUGCUUCCAGGAAAAGCCUCUAAGCAUCAGGUAACAUCAAAUCGUACCCCAAACCGACACAGGUGGUCAGGUAGAGAAUACCAAGGCGCUUGAGAGAACUCGGGUGAAGGAACUAGGCAAAAUGGUGCCGUAACUUCGGGAGAAGGCACGCUGACACGUAGGUGAAGUGAUUUACUCACGGAGCUGAAGUCAGUCGAAGAUACCAGCUGGCUGCAACUGUUUAUUAAAAACACAGCACUGUGCAAACACGAAAGUGGACGUAUACGGUGUGACGCCUGCCCGGUGCCGGAAGGUUAAUUGAUGGGGUCAGCGCAAGCGAAGCUCCUGAUCGAAGCCCCGGUAAACGGCGGCCGUAACUAUAACGGUCCUAAGGUAGCGAAAUUCCUUGUCGGGUAAGUUCCGACCUGCACGAAUGGCGUAAUGAUGGCCAGGCUGUCUCCACCCGAGACUCAGUGAAAUUGAACUCGCUGUGAAGAUGCAGUGUACCCGCGGCAAGACGGAAAGACCCCGUGAACCUUUACUAUAGCUUGACACUGAACAUUGAGCCUUGAUGUGUAGGAUAGGUGGGAGGCUUUGAAGUGUGGACGCCAGUCUGCAUGGAGCCGACCUUGAAAUACCACCCUUUAAUGUUUGAUGUUCUAACGUGGACCCGUAAUCCGGGUUGCGGACAGUGUCUGGUGGGUAGUUUGACUGGGGCGGUCUCCUCCUAAAGAGUAACGGAGGAGCACGAAGGUUGGCUAAUCCUGGUCGGACAUCAGGAGGUUAGUGCAAUGGCAUAAGCCAGCUUGACUGCGAGCGUGACGGCGCGAGCAGGUGCGAAAGCAGGUCAUAGUGAUCCGGUGGUUCUGAAUGGAAGGGCCAUCGCUCAACGGAUAAAAGGUACUCCGGGGAUAACAGGCUGAUACCGCCCAAGAGUUCAUAUCGACGGCGGUGUUUGGCACCUCGAUGUCGGCUCAUCACAUCCUGGGGCUGAAGUAGGUCCCAAGGGUAUGGCUGUUCGCCAUUUAAAGUGGUACGCGAGCUGGGUUUAGAACGUCGUGAGACAGUUCGGUCCCUAUCUGCCGUGGGCGCUGGAGAACUGAGGGGGGCUGCUCCUAGUACGAGAGGACCGGAGUGGACGCAUCACUGGUGUUCGGGUUGUCAUGCCAAUGGCACUGCCCGGUAGCUAAAUGCGGAAGAGAUAAGUGCUGAAAGCAUCUAAGCACGAAACUUGCCCCGAGAUGAGUUCUCCCUGAGACUUAGAGUCUCCUGAAGGAACGUUGAAGACGACGACGUUGAUAGGCCGGGUGUGUAAGCGCAGCGAUGCGUUGAGCUAACCGGUACUAAUGAACCGUGAGGCUUAACCUUACAACGCCGAAG